GGAAGAAUGGCUGAGUGGCUUAAGGCACUGGUUUGCUAAAUCAGCGUACAUUCAUUUGUACCAUGGGUUCGAAUCCCUUUUCUUCCG